rnacentral:rRNA from 1 species
UUAGGAAUAUUCGUCAAUGGGGGAAACCCUGAACGAGCAAUGCCGCGUGAGUGAUGAAGGUCUUAUAGAUUGUAAAACUCUGUUGUAAAGGAAGAAUGAUUGUUAUAGGAAAUGAUAAUGAUUUGACGGUACUUUACCAGAAAGCCCCGGCUAACUACGUGCCAGCAGCCGCGGUAAUACGUAGGGGGCGAGCGUUAUCCGGAUUUAUUGGGUGUAAAGGGUGCGUAGGCGGUUUAUUAAGUUUAAGAUUAAAGCCCGAAGCUUAACUUCGGUUCGUCUUAAAAACUGGUAAACUAGAGUAUAGUAGAGGCAAGUGGAAUUUCUAGUGUAGCGGUUAAAUGCGUAGAUAUUAGAAGGAACACCAGUGGCGAAGGCGACUUGCUGGGCUAUUACUGACGCUGAGGCACGAAAGCGUGGGGAGCAAAUAGG